rnacentral:rRNA from 1 species
CCCUUAGAUGUUCUGGGCCGCACGCGCGCUACACUGACGAAUGCAACGAGCUUAUAACCUUGGCCGAAAGGUCUGGGUAAUCUCCAAAUUUCGUCGUGAUGGGGAUACAUUAUUGCAAUUAUUAAUCUUCAACGAGGAAUGCCUAGUAAGCGCAAGUCAUCAGCUUGCGUUGAUUACGUCCCUGCCCUUUGUACACACCGCCCGUCGCUCCUACCGAUUGAAUGGUCCGGUGAAGCGUUCGGACCGUGGCCUUUGGACGGUUCGCCGUCUGUUGGCUGCGGGAAGUUCGUUAAACCUUAUCAUUUAGAGGAAGGAGAAGUCGUAACA